AUUGAACGCUGGCGGCAUGCUUUACACAUGCAAGUCGAACGGUAACAGGCCUUCGGGUGCUGACGAGUGGCGAACGGGUGAGUAAUGCAUCGGAACGUACCCAGAGGUGGGGGAUAACGCAGCGAAAGCUGUGCUAAUACCGCAUGUGAUCUGAGGAUGAAAGCGGGGGACCGAGCAGCAAUGUUUGGCCUCGCGCCUUUGGAGCGGCCGAUGUCGGAUUAGCUAGUUGGUGGGGUAAAGGCCUACCAAGGCGACGAUCCGUAGCUGGUCUGAGAGGACGACCAGCCACACGGGGAGUGGGAAACGGCCCAGACUCCUAGGGGAGGCAGCAGGGGGGAAUUUUGGAAAAGGGGCGCAAGCCUGACCCAGCAAUGCCGGGGGCGGGAAGAGGGCCUUCGGGUUGUAAACCGCUUUUGGCAGGAACGAAACGGUGCCCGCAAAUACCGGGGGCUAAGGACGGUACCUGCAGAAUAAGCACCGGCUAACUACGG
rnacentral:rRNA from 1 species